GCCGCCGACCGGCCGCUCUUCCGCGUCAAGGGCCCGCUCGCUAUCACUAGCCAGUGCGACUUCGAGAUAUACAACAUGGACAAGAAGCGUGUGGGUACGAUCCGUAAGAAGUGGGGGGGAUUGGGGCGGGAAGUUUUCUCGAGCGCCGACAACUACGUCAUCGAGCUGCCCGCUGACCUGGACGUGCGCUAUAAGGCCGCCCUCCUCGGCACCUGCUUCCUCAUAGAUUUUAUGUACUACGAGAACUGAAACGUAUGUUAUGCGCGGCGCUGCACGCGGAUGUUGAAGAGAAGUUGGUGCGCGGGAAAUGUAAAGUACCCAAGAUUGUGCCUCAUGACAGGAAAUCACACAAUACUUUAAUUACGAUAAUUUAAUUAUUUACAGAAUACAAAAACAUUUAAGAAAUUUAUAGACUAGGCAUAGUGAAUAAUUUUUUUCCGGUAACUUCUUUGAAAGGUACUAUGUCACCUCAUGUCCUUGUAUUAACAUGUAAUAAAACAUUUUACAAAAUUAUAAUAAGCUCCGUCAUGUGUUCUAAACAGAUUAUAACCAUUAAAUAUGAUAUAGUGACAUCUA